rnacentral:lncRNA from 1 species
CCACCCAUUCAGAACCACCAUAACUAUGAUCUUUCCCUUUUGGCAACUUUGGGUGAUCCUCCAAUUUUCAUGAGAAUCCUGAGCUACCCAUUUCUCGUUUCUAUAUUUAUAUUACACAAUCUAAUCAAUAUAUAUCCUUCACAACAACAAAAAUCAACAUCCAAAAAAUUCAUGCUUCUUUCUGCAAUUUUCCUAUAAUACAUACCCAUUAUCACCCAUUUUUCAAUCACAAAUACUUGGUGCUGCACACACCAAAAGCACGACUGCAAACCCAAAAUAUAAAACUCAAACACAAAACAGGAGGAAAAAUAAAUAGAAGCCUAUGUAAACAUUCUCACAAUUCAAAAUCCUGAUUCAUACCCAAAACUAACUUCCAAAAUACACUCAAGCAAAAUCCCAUACACAUAGAAUCCAAGCUUGGACAAAGUGGUCAUUGUAUUGCAAAUUGCAACAUAAACAUAAAAAGACUCUUAGAAGAGGUUCAAAAUUAUCAUACAAUAAAACAACUAAAAUGAUAUGAAUUAUUACUCCUCAAAUUUGACUCAACAUAUAUACCUGAGACAUGCAAAACAAUUCUGAAUGUAUAGUUCUUUCAAAGUUCUCAAAGUUCAAUGUGAUUCAACCAAUAUGAUCAUCUAAAGUGUCCAUAAUACCAUCUCACUAUAUUAUAGGCUUCUUUUACUACAACAAAAAAAUUUAUAAGUUCCAUAAAAGACUUAUAACCUAAGAGACUUAUUAAUUCAGGUACAUAAAUAUUGGCAAGGAAUAAAGGCAAGUGCUAAGUUAAUUGAAUCAAAAUUAAACAACCUAAAUGUUAAAACUAAGGUAGCAAUAUUUACUGUGGCAAUGAAGCUAUUACGACGUAUCCUUAAUUCUACCUUGAAAAAGUUUCUCCCAAAUUUCUCAAGCAAUCUGGAUUCAUCACACUAUGAAUCUGAAGUGCACAUGUUGCUUCCAAUUUCAUUACCCAGUUAGUCUAAAUAGAUUUUGAAGUGUCCAACAAUUUGAGAUUUGAGGCAACAUUAUAGAUAUAUAAAAUGCAUCAACCACCUUGAGAAUUUUUCCUAUUAUUAAAUAUAUUAAGAAAUUAAAAAAUAUAAGAAACUCUAACUACAUGCAUAAAUUAGUAGACAAACACAUUAAUUUCAGGUCAUAAAAAGUCCACAUACUUGAGUUAAAUCAAAAUUUCUUGAUAAACACAUUGAUAUCAUGUUGUAAGAACCUCUAAAAUUGAAUGUUAUAUAUAGGGUGUGUGUGUAGUUGUGUCUAUAUAUAUAGUUAUCCAAGUAGAACAUGAGUAAGGAAGCCGAUGGAAGCCGAUAUAAGAUUCGAGUUGUUAUGGUUAAAGACCCCAACCUUAGAAUAAAUAUCAUUUUAUAUAAAAUAAAUAACAAAUGAAAAGUUAAUAACUACUCCCUCCUUUCCACAAAUAGAAAUUCACUUACAAAAUUCACAAAUAUUAAGAUUUUUUGUUCCAUAUUCAUCCAAAAUUUAUUUGGCCUACCUCUCAAAUUAACGAAAAUCAGCUACUUUACCAACUUAGUAUUGGAGAUAGAACUCAUCCCUAUUUUGAGCUUCAAUAGCAGUACGUGAACACUGAACAUAUACAAAAUACACAAAUUAAAAGAGCCAAAAGACAUGACAAUAUCACAAUCACAACAUCAUAUUUACAUGAGAUUUCAAAUUCAUUGUUUCAUUUGACAUGAUGACAAUAUCCCUUAUGUAUUACAUUUACAUAUAUAAUAUUUAAACGAGAUAGCAAAACACAAUCUUUCACUCUCUCUCGCUCUGUGAGUAUUUUUGCUCAAAUGUGUAGGUAAAAAUAGUACAAUUUCAUAGUAAAGUAUAAAAAUGAGAUUAUUUUUUGAAUAAAAAUACAUACCCGUGAGCGCAUACAUACAUAUAUAUAUAUAGAGAGAGAGAAAGGAUCUUAGGCUGACCAUUUGGACGGACGGACCAAAGGGAACACGCGGGUCAAAGGCUGAGAUCCGGGUCACACGCGGGUCAAAAAGAGGCCAUUUCCAAAUGAAAUCGAGACGAAUUUCACAGCUGAAGCAACGAAGCAAAGAGAUCCUCUCAAUUACAUCCAUUUCGCGAAUUUCGCAGAUCUGAAGUAAAGAGAUCUCAAACUCCCUCACCUCAAACUCUGCCAUUUCGCGAAGGGGCAGUAAUCACUAGAUUCCGAUUCUCUCAACUGGAACUGAAGCAAAGGGGCAGUAAUCACUAGAUCCGAUUAGCGAAUUCACAGAGCUAAUUCACAGAGCAAAAAAACUUUUGGGGUAUGUUUCAAUAAACUUGAAUUACUCAAUUCGGG